AUUGAACGCUGGCGGCAGGCCUAACACAUGCAAGUCGAACGGUAACAGGAAGAAGCUUGCUUCUUUGCUGACGAGUGGCGGACGGGUGAGGAAUGUCUGGGAAACUGCCUGAUGGAGGGGGAUAACUACUGGAAACGGUAGCUACUACCGCAUAACGUCGCAAGACCAAAGAGGGGGACCUUCGGGCCUCUUGCCAUCGGAUGUGCCCAGAUGGGAUUAGCUAGUAGGUGGGGUAACGGCUCACCUAGGCGACGAUCCCUAGCUGGUCUGAGAGGAUGACCAGCCACACUGGAACUGAGACACGGUCCAGACUCCUACGGGAGGCAGCAGUGGGGAAUAUUGCACAAUGGGCGCAAGCCUGAUGCAGCCAUGCCGCGUGUAUGAAGAAGGCCUUCGGGUUGUAAAGUACUUUCAGCGGGGAGGAAGGGAGUAAAGUUAAUACCUUUGCUCAUUGACGUUACCCGCAGAAGAAGCACCGGCUAACUCCGUG
rnacentral:rRNA from 1 species